GGGGAAUUUUGGACAAUGGGCGCAAGCCUGAUCCAGCCAUUCCGCGUGCAGGAUGAAGGCCCUCGGGUUGUAAACUGCUUUUGUACGGAACGAAAAGGCUUCUUCUAAUACAGGAGGCUCAUGACGGUACCGUAAGAAUAAGCACCGGCUAACUACGUGCCAGCAGCCGCGGUAAUACGUAGGGUCCAAGCGUUAUCCGGAAUCACUGGGCGUAAAGCGUGCGUAGGUGGUUUGUUAAGUGUAUUGCGAAAUCCUGUGGCUCAACCAUAUGGACUGUAAUGCAUACUGGCAAACUCGAGGACAUGAGAGGCAAGUGGAAUUACUGGUGUAGCAGUGAAAUGCGUAGAGAUCAGUAGGAACACCAAUGGCGAAGGCAGCUUGCUGGCAUGUUUCUGACGCUAAGGCACGAAAGCGUGGGUAGCGAAC
rnacentral:rRNA from 1 species